rnacentral:rRNA from 1 species
UGGGGAAUAUUGGACAAUGGGCGCAAGCCUGAUCCAGCAAUGCCGCGUGUGUGAAGAAGGCCUUCGGGUUGUAAAGCACUUUUAUCAGGAGCGAAACGCUGUCGGCUAAUACCCGGCGGAACUGACGGUACCUGAGGAAUAAGCACCGGCUAACUUCGUGCCAGCAGCCGCGGUAAUACGAAGGGUGCAAGCGUUAAUCGGAAUUACUGGGCGUAAAGCGUGCGUAGGCGGUUUCUUAAGUCUGCUGUGAAAUCCCCGGGCUCAACCUGGGAAUGGCAGUGGAUACUGGGAGGCUAGAGUGUGUCAGAGGGUGGUGGAAUUCCCGGUGUAGCGGUGAAAUGCGUAGAGAUCGGGAGGAACAUCAGUGGCGAAGGCGGCCACCUGGGACAACACUGACGCUGAGGCACGAAAGCGUGGGGAGCAAACAGGAUUAGAUACCCUGGUAGUCCACGCCCUAAAGCGAUGCGAACUGGAUGUUGGUCUCAACUCGGAGAUCAGUGUCGAAGCUAACGCGUUAAGUUCGCCGCCUGGGGAGUACGGUCGCAAGACUGAAACUCAAAUGAAUUGACGGGGUCAUAGCUGUUUUCC